rnacentral:sRNA from 1 species
UGUGGUUUCACGGGCCACGGAGAGCGC